CCUACGGGAGGCAGCAGUGGGGAAUAUUGCACAAUGGGGGAAACCCUGAUGCAGCGACGCCGCGUGAGUGAAGAAGUAUCUCGGUACGUAAAGCUCUAUCAGCAGGGAAGAAAAUGACGGUACCUGACUAAGAAGCACCGGCUAACUAAGUGCCAGCAGCCGCGGUAAUACGUAGGGGGCAAGCGUUAUCCGGAUUUACUGGGUGUAAAGGGAGCGUAGACGGCAGCACAAGUCUGGAGUGAAAUCCCGGGGCUUAACCCCGGAACUGCUUUGGAAACUGUGCGGCUGGAGUGCAGGGGGGGUAAGUGGAAUUCCUAGUGUAGCGGUUAAAUGCGUAGAUAUUAGGAGGAACACCGGUGGCGAAGGCGGCUUACUGGACUGUAAUUGACGUUGAGGCUCGAAAGCGUGGGGAGCAAACAGGAUUAGAUACCCUUGUAGUC
rnacentral:rRNA from 1 species